GAUGAACGCUGGCGGCGUGCCUAAUACAUGCAAGUCGAGCGAACGGACGAGAAGCUUGCUUCUCUGAUGUUAGCGGCGGACGGGUGAGUAACACGUGGAUAACCUACCUAUAAGACUGGGAUAACUUCGGGAAACCGGAGCUAAUACCGGAUAAUAUUUUUAACCGCAUGGUUCAAAAGUGAAAGACGGUCUUGCUGUCACUUAUAGAUGGAUCCGCUCUGAAUUAGCUAGUUGGUAAGGUAACGGCUUACCAAGGCAACGAUGCAUAGCCGACCUGAGAGGGUGAUCGGCCACACUGGAACUGAGACACGGUCCAGACUCCUACGGGAGGCAGCAGUAGGGAAUCUUCCGCAAUGGGCGAAAGCCUGACGGAGCAACGCCGCGUGAGGGAUGAAGUUUUUCGGAUCGUAAAACUCUGUUAUUAGGGAAGAACAUAUGUGUAAGUAACUGUGCACAUCUUGACGGUACCUAAUCAGAAAGCCACGGCUAACUACGUG
rnacentral:rRNA from 1 species